rnacentral:rRNA from 1 species
GGGUUGUGAGGUUAAGCGACUAAGCGUACACGGUGGAUGCCCUGGCAGUCAGAGGCGAUGAAGGGCGUGCUAAUCUGCGAUAAGCGCCGGUAAGGUGAUAUGAACCGUUAUAACCGGCGAUACCCGAAUGGGGAAACCCAGUGUGAUUCGUCACACUAUCAUUAACUGAAUCCAUAGGUUAAUGAGGCGAACCGGGGGAACUGAAACAUCUAAGUACCCCGAGGAAAAGAAAUCAACCGAGAUUCCCCCAGUAGCGGCGAGCGAACGGGGAGGAGCCCAGAGCCUGAAUCAGCAUGUGUGUUAGUGGAAGCGUCUGGAAAGGCGCGCGAUACAGGGUGACAGCCCCGUACACAAAAGCGCAUGUGCUGUGAGCUCGAUGAGUAGGGCGGGACACGUGGUAUCCUGUCUGAAUAUGGGGGGACCAUCCUCCAAGGCUAAAUACUCCUGACUGACCGAUAGUGAACCAGUACCGUGAGGGAAAGGCGAAAAGAACCCCGGCGAGGGGAGUGAAAAAGAACCUGAAACCGUGUACGUACAAGCAGUGGGAGCACCCUUUUGGGUGUGACUGCGUACCUUUUGUAUAAUGGGUCAGCGACUUAUAUUCUGUAGCAAGGUUAACCGUAUAGGGGAGCCGGAGGGAAACCGAGUCUUAAUUGGGCGUUAAGUUGCAGGGUAUAGACCCGAAACCCGGUGAUCUAGCCAUGGGCAGGUUGAAGGUUGGGUAACACUAACUGGAGGACCGAACCGACUAAUGUUGAAAAAUUAGCGGAUGACCUGUGGCUGGGGGUGAAAGGCCAAUCAAACCGGGAGAUAGCUGGUUCUCCCCGAAAGCUAUUUAGGUAGCGCCUCGUGAAUUCAUCUCCGGGGGUAGAGCACUGUUUCGGCUAGGGGGCCAUCCCGGCUUACCAACCCGAUGCAAACUGCGAAUACCGGAGAAUGUUAUCACGGGAGACACACGGCGGGUGCUAACGUCCGUCGUGAAGAGGGAAACAACCCAGACCGCCAGCUAAGGUCCCAAAGUCAUGGUUAAGUGGGAAACGAUGUGGGAAGGCCCAGACAGCCAGGAUGUUGGCUUAGAAGCAGCCAUCAUUUAAAGAAAGCGUAAUAGCUCACUGGUCGAGUCGGCCUGCGCGGAAGAUGUAACGGGGCUAAACCAUGCACCGAAGCUGCGGCAGCGAC